UACGAAGGGGGCUAGCGUUGCUCGGAAUCACUGGGCGUAAAGGGUGCGUAGGCGGGUCAUCAAGUCGGUUGUGAAAUCCCUCGGCUUAACCGAGGACGUGCAGUCGAAACUGACGACCUUGAGUACUAAAGAGGAUCGCGGAAUUCCCGGUGUAGAGGUGAAAUGCGUAGAUAUCUGGAGGAACACCGGUGGCGAAGGCGGCAUCCUGGACCGACACUGACACUGAGGAGCGAAAGCCAGGGGAGCAAACGGG
rnacentral:rRNA from 1 species